rnacentral:rRNA from 1 species
CGAACGCUGGCGGCAGGCCUAAUACAUGCAAGUCGAACGGCUCUUCCGAGCAGUGGCGGACGGGUGAGUAACGCGUGGGAAUGUGCCCUUUGGUACGGAACAACACAGGGAAACUUGUGCUAAUACCGUAUGUGCCCUUCGGGGGAAAGAUUUAUCGCCAUUGGAGCAGCCCGCGUUGGAUUAGGUAGUUGGUGAGGUAAAGGCUCACCAAGCCUACGAUCCAUAGCUGGUCUGAGAGGAUGACCAGCCACACUGGGACUGAGACACGGCCCAGACUCCUACGGGAGGCAGCAGUAGGGAAUCUUGCGCAAUGGGCGAAAGCCUGACGCAGCCAUGCCGCGUGUAUGAUGAAGGUCUUAGGAUUGUAAAAUACUUUCACCGGGGAAGAUAAUGACGGUACCCGGAGAAGAAGCCCCGGCUAACUUCGUGCCAGCAGCCGCCGUAAAAC